AUGGGGAAAAGAGGCAGGAGAGGAAGAACAAGGCAACAAAAAAAAUGCCCUGAACUCACAGAGGAGAAACAAGGGACUCUGAGCCAGAGGGAUAUAUUUCACCUGCAUUCCAGAGAAAAGAUCAAGCAAGCAAACAACAAACUUGGACAGAGAGCUAGGAAUGCAGGAAGGGACGCCUGCGUAGCUUCAUCUCGGAGAGGAGGACGCGCUCGUGCUUGUGGACCCAUGGCGGCGCCGUGGCGUGCAGAGGUUGUCAGUGAGGAUGCUGCCUAG
rnacentral:rRNA from 1 species